rnacentral:rRNA from 1 species
CGUGCGCAGGCGGUUUUGUAAGUACUGUCGUGAAAUACCCCCGGGCCUCAACCUGGGAAUGGCGAUGGUGACUGCAAGGCUAGAGUUUGGCAGAGGGGGGUAGAAUUCCACGUGUAGCAGUGAAAUGCGUAGAUAUGUGGAGGAACACCGAUGGCGAAGGCAGCCCCCUGGGUCAAAACUGACGCUCAUGCACGAAAGCGUGGGGAGCAAACAGGAUUAGAUACCCUGGU